UACGAACUGUGCGACCGUUAUUCGGAAUCACUGGGCUUACAGGGUGCGUAGGCGGCUCAACAAGUCAGGUGUGAAAGCCCCCGGCUCAACCGGGGAACUGCGCUUGAAACUGUUAGGCUCGAGUCAGCUAGAGGUACACGGAACUUCCAGUGGAGCGGUGAAAUGUGUUGAUAUUGGAAGGAACACCGGAGGCGAAAGCGGUGUACUGGGGCUGGCCUGACGCUGAGGCACGAAAGCCAGGGGAGCGAACGGG
rnacentral:rRNA from 1 species